AGAGUUUGAUCAUGGCUCAGAACGAACGUUGAUGGCGUGCCUCAUACAUACAAGUCGAGCGGGUAGCAAUACCAGCGGCGGACGGGUGAGUAACACGUAAAGAAUCUGCCCUGAAGCGGGGAAUAACUAUCCCAACGGAUAGCUAAUACCGCAUAAUGAUGGAGGAGGCAUCUCCUUUUCUCAAAAGGCUUCGGCCACUUCAGGAUGACUUUGCGGCCCAUUAGCUUGUUGGCGGGGUAACGGCCCACCAAGGCGAUGAUGGGUAUCCGGCCUGAGGGGGUGUACGGACACAUUGGGACUGAGAUACGGCCCAGACUCCUACGGGAGGCAGCAGUAGGGAAUUUUGCGCAAUGGAGGAAACUCUGACGCAGCAACGCCAUGUGUGGGAUGAAGCAUUUCGGUGUGUAAACCACUGUCAGCAGGGAAUAAAAGCCUUCUCCGGAGGGAUUUGAAUGUACCUGCAAAGGAAGCCCCGGCUAACUUCGUGCCAGCAGCCGCGGUAAUACGAGGGGGGCAAAUGUUGUUCGGAAUCACUGGGCGUAAAGGGAGCGUAGGCGGGCUUCUAAGUUAGGUGUUUAAUCCCGGGGCCCAACCCCGGACAGGCACCUAAACCUGGAAGUCUUGAAUAGUGGAGAGGUCGGCGGAAUUGGGGGCGUAGCGGUGGAAUGCGUAGAGAUCCCCAAGAACACCAGUUGCGAAGGCGGCCGACUGGACACAUAUUGACGCUGAGGCUCGAAAGCAUGGGGAGCAAACAGGAUUAGAUACCCUGGUAGUCCAUGCUAUAAACGAUGAAUACUAUGUUUUGGGCCCGUCAACGGUCCAGAGCCGCAGCUAACGCGUUAAGUAUUCCGCCUGGGGAGUACGCUCGCAAGAGUGAAACUCAAGGAAUUGACGG
rnacentral:rRNA from 1 species